AUUGAACGCUGGCGGCAUGCCUUACACAUGCAAGUCGAACGGCAGCACGGGAGCAAUCCUGGUGGCGAGUGGCGAACGGGUGAGUAAUGUAUCGGAACGUGCCCAUUCGUGGGGGAUAACGUAGCGAAAGCUACGCUAAUACCGCAUACGAUCUAUGGAUGAAAGCGGGGGACCGCAAGGCCUCGCGCGAUUGGAGCGGCCGAUGGCAGAUUAGGUAGUUGGUGGGGUAAAGGCCUACCAAGCCGACGAUCUGUAGCUGGUCUGAGAGAACGACCAGCCACACUGGGACUGGGACACGGCCCAGACUCUUACGGGAGGCAGCAGUGGGGAAUUUUGGACAAUGGGCGCAAGCCUGAUCCAGCCAUUCCGCGUGCAGGAUGAAGGCCCUCGGGUUGUAAACUGCUUUUGUACGGAACGAAACGGCGCUUUCUAAUAAAGGGCGCUAAUGACGGUACCGUAAGAAUAAGCACCGGCUAACUACGUGCCAGCCGCCGCCGUAA
rnacentral:rRNA from 1 species